rnacentral:rRNA from 1 species
AAGUCGAACGAUGAAGCCGCUUCGGUGGUGGAUUAGUGGCGAACGGGUGAGUAACACGUGGGCAAUCUGCCCUUCACUCUGGGACAAGCCCUGGAAACGGGGUCUAAUACCGGAUAACACUCUGUCCCGCAUGGGACGGGGUUAAAAGCUCCGGCGGUGAAGGAUGAGCCCGCGGCCUAUCAGCUUGUUGGUGGGGUAAUGGCCUACCAAGGCGACGACGGGUAGCCGGCCUGAGAGGGCGACCGGCCACACUGGGACUGAGACACGGCCCAGACUCCUACGGGAGGCAGCAGUGGGGAAUAUUGCACAAUGGGCGAAAGCCUGAUGCAGCGACGCCGCGUGAGGGAUGACGGCCUUCGGGUUGUAAACCUCUUUCAGCAGGGAAGAAGCGAAAGUGACGGUACCUGCAGAAGAAGCGCCGGCUAACUACGUGCCAGCAGCCGCGGUAAUACGUAGGGCGCAAGCGUUGUCCGGAAUUAUUGGGCGUAAAGAGCUCGUAGGCGGCUUGUCACGUCGGAUGUGAAAGCCCGGGGCUUAACCCCGGGUCUGCAUUCGAUACGGGCUAGCUAGAGUGUGGUAGGGGAGAUCGGAAUUCCUGGUGUAGCGGUGAAAUGCGCAGAUAUCAGGAGGAACACCGGUGGCGAAGGCGGAUCUCUGGGCCAUUACUGACGCUGAGGAGCGAAAGCGUGGGGAGCGAACAGGAUUAGAUACCCUGGUAGUCCACGCCGUAAACGUUGGGAACUAGGUGUUG